AUGGCCAGCCAUGCGGAGUUGACUCAAACCACACUUAGAAAUCACCACAAGAGUGUUGCAUCUGUAGUGAUACAUCAGAAGAACGGGACUUUAGCCGGCAGCGGUUUCAUCGCCAGGGAAGCAACAGAACACAGUAGAGCACUUGUUAUGACAGCCGACCAUGUCGUCGAGUUUUUCGAGCCUGCUAAGAAUGACAAGCUAUGCAUUAGACUACCUGGGUUAGACCGGGAGCUCGAGUGUGAGAUACGCCACCGGGAUAACUUCAAAGACCUAGCAGCUAUCGCUGUGUCGGGAGUGCCUGAUGGGUAUCCGGCUCUGAGAUUUUCCCGUGAAAGAGACUUACCAAUUGGCACCGCCGCCGUGUUAGUGGCAUACUACAAUCCAGAUAAGUUGGCAAAGACUAAGGGUCCUAUUCUCGUGAAGCCUGGAGCAUGUGGUGGAACCAUUGUUGGGCCACCAGUCAGGAUAACUAAAAACAUUGAAUGGACGGAACGUAUUAGGCAUGAGUGCGCAACGAUGAGUGGAUGCUCAGGAGGACCUGUUAUCGUCAAUGGUCAUGUCGUUGGAGUGAAUCAGUACGGUGAUAAUACGAGUGGAUUGGCCGCUAGUUUUGUAACUGUGGAGGCAGUUGUGAAAAACUGGGCUCAAAAAGAUGGUGUAAGCAGUUGUAACCCAUAUGGUAUCACCAAUUACUGCUCUUCCUUCUGCUUAGUACUAAUUUCUGUUGCACGCACUACAUUUUUCAGGAUCAUAGCCUAG
rnacentral:rRNA from 1 species